CGUAGGGCGCGAGCGUUGUCCGGAUUUAUUGGGCGUAAAGAGCUCGUAGGUGGUUUGUCGCGUCUGCCGUGAAAGCUCAUGGCUUAACUGUGGGUUUGCGGUGGAUACGGGCAUAACUUGAGGCAGGUAGGGGAGAAUGGAAUUCCCGGUGUAGCGGUGAAAUGCGCAGAUAUCGGGAGGAACACCGGUGGCGAAGGCGGUUCUCUGGGCCUGUUCUGACACUGAGGAGCGAAAGCGUGGGGAGCGAACAGGAUUAGAUACCCUGGUAGUCCACGCUGUAAACGUUGGGCGCUAGGUGUGGGGUCUUUCCACGGAUUCCGUGCCGCAGCUAACGCAUUAAGCGCCCCGCCUGGGGAGUACGGCCGCAAGGCUA
rnacentral:rRNA from 1 species